UACGUAGGGGGCUAGCGUUGUCCGGAUUUAUUGGGCGUAAAGAGCGUGUAGGCGGCCAGGUAGGUCUGCUGUGAAAACUCGAGGCUCAACCUCGAGAUGUCGGCGGAAACCAUCUGGCUAGAGUCCGGAAGAGGAGAGUGGAAUUCCUGGUGUAGCGGUGAAAUGCGCAGAUAUCAGGAAGAACACCUAUGGCGAAGGCAGCUCUCUGGGACGGUACUGACGCUGAGACGCGAAAGCGUGGGGAGCGAACAGG
rnacentral:rRNA from 1 species